rnacentral:ncRNA from 2 species
AACAUGUAUGCUCAUGCUCGCUGUCGCCGCAGGGGAAUCCGGUGCGAAUCCGGAACUGUCCCGCAACGGUGUACUCAUGCGCGUAUGCCCGCAUACACGCAUGAGCGUCAGUCCGAGGACCUGCCGACAGUGCGCCCGGCCG